GUGGGGAAUAUUGGACAAUGGGCGCAAGCCUGAUCCAGCCAUGCCGCGUGUGUGAAGAAGGCCUUCGGGUUGUAAAGCACUUUUGUCCGGGAAGAAAACCCUGGGGCUAAUACCCACGGGGAAUGACGGUACCGGAAGAAUAAGCACCGGCUAACUUCGUGCCAGCAGCCGCGGUAAUACGAAGGGUGCAAGCGUUACUCGGAAUUACUGGGCGUAAAGCGUGCGUAGGCGGUUUGUUAAGUCAGAUGUGAAAGCCCCGGGCUCAACCUGGGAACUGCAGUUGAUACUGGGGAGCUAGAGUACGGUAGAGGGUGGUGGAAUUCCCGGUGUAGCGGUGAAAUGCGUAGAGAUCGGGAGGAACAUCUGUGGCGAAGGCGGCCACCUGGACCAGUACUGACGCUGAGGCACGAAAGCGUGGGGAGCAAACAGGAUUAGAAACCCCUGUAGUCC
rnacentral:rRNA from 1 species